rnacentral:rRNA from 1 species
CCCCAGACUCCUACGGGAGGCAGCAGUGGGGAAUAUUGCACAAUGGGGGAAACCCUGAUGCAGCGACGCCGCGUGAGUGAAGAAGUAUUUCGGUAUGUAAAGCUCUAUCAGCAGGGAAGAAAAUGACGGUACCUGGGUAAGAAGCCCCGGCUAACUACGUGCCAGCAGCCGCGGUAAUACGUAGGGGGCAAGCGUUAUCCGGAUUUACUGGGUGUAAAGGGAGCGUAGACGGUGAAGUAAGUCUGGAGUGAAAGGCGGGGGCCCAACCCCCGGACUGCUCUGGAAACUAUUUGACUGGAGUGCAGGAGAGGUAAGCGGAAUUCCUAGUGUAGCGGUGAAAUGCGUAGAUAUUAGGAGGAACACCAGUGGCGAAGGCGGCUUACUGGACUGAAACUGACGCUGAGGCACGAAAGCGUGGGGAGCGAACAGGAUUAGAUACCCCAGUA